rnacentral:rRNA from 1 species
UACGUAGGGUGCGAGCGUUGUCCGGAAUUAUUGGGCGUAAAGAGCUUGUAGGCGGUUUGUCGCGUCUGCUGUGAAAAUCCGGGGCUCAACCCCGGACUUGCAGUGGGUACGGGGCAGACUAGAGUGAUGUAGGGGGAGACUGGAAUUCCUGGUGUAGCGGUGGAAUGCGCAGAUAUCAGGAGGAACACCGAUGGCGAAGGCAGGUCUCUGGGCCAUUACUGACACUGAGAAGCGAAAGCAUGGGGGAGCGAACAGG